GUAUAUGGCCAUGCCACCCCGAACAAGCCCAAUCCCAUCUGAUCUCGGAAGCUAAGUAGGGUCUGGCCUGGUUAGUACUUGGAUGGGAGACCACCUAGGAUGACCAAGUGCUGUAAGCA
rnacentral:rRNA from 1 species